rnacentral:rRNA from 1 species
UACGUAGGGGGCAAGCGUUGUCCGGAAUUAUUGGGCGUAAAGCGCGUGUAGGCGGCUCGGUAAGUCUGCUGUGAAAGUCCAGGGCUCAACCCUGGAAUGCCGGUGGAUACUGUCGAGCUAGAGUCCGGAAGAGGCGAGUGGAAUUCCUGGUGUAGCGGUGAAAUGCGCAGAUAUCAGGAGGAACACCGAUGGCGAAGGCAGGUCUCUGGGCCGAUACUGACGCUGAGGAGCGAAAGCGUGGGGAGCGAACAGG